AUCGCUUCUCAGCCUUUUGGCUAAGAUCAAGUGUAGUAUCUGUUCUGAUGAGUUUAAAAAAUGUCUUCCUGCUCCUUUGUAGUCAAUCUCAGUCACCCACC
ensembl:snRNA U2 U2 spliceosomal RNA